rnacentral:sRNA from 12 species
GCACGUCCCCCGUCUUUCCCAACGGGGCAGCUAACUGUAAGGCGGUUGGCGGCUGGUGAUUGUGGGCAUAGUCUGGGCAAUGCUCUUUUCUCAAGCUCCGUGCGAGCAGUUUUUCUCGCUAUGGCGUAUUUUAUCUCCGGCUGCACAGGGGCAGACUUAUGGCAUUAUUCUUACACCUCCUUUUCAGUGGCGGUAUUCUCAACACUCCCAACGACUUAUAAAAGUCUUAACGUGUUUCCGACACUCGGAAUAAAUUGCAUUUAUCCCGUUCCGUAAAUUUGCCUACUUGCGUAGGUUAGCAAUAUUGGUAUUAUUGCCUGAUUGCGAAGCGUGGUUAUUUAACGCACCCUUUAAGCGUUCCAAGACGCACAACCCAUUCUAUCAACGCAAUGCGCAAUAGUUGCUUUUCCGAGGGGCAAUGAUAUCUUCCGACCCUAAACCCUCUUUUUUU